ensembl:lncRNA
CUAGCAGCAUAAUUCUUGUACUGGGUGAAUCAGCGGACUUUGGUGUAUUUUGCGAUUUUCAUAGCUCGUUCUACCUCCGUCGCGGAGAUAUGACGAGAGAAGAAACGGCUUCAUUUCCAGAGUUUGAAGACUGAGAGAAGGACAGAUUUCCACCCCUCAAACAAACGUAAUUCAUUGCUUAACGGGUUCACAAUAACUCACAGGCCAAUGCUAUGAUGCAGCAGGCCACUGUCAUCCUGCAGGUGGAGGAAUCCAUGCCCCUCCUGCGUCGUUUCUACAACAACCAGUACAUCUCCAGCCACUGCUUGCCAUUGGUCGAACCCUCUGAUGAUGGCAUCACAAUAAAAUUGCAUUACCAUGAUGAGAUGGGACGAAUUACAGUGCAGAUCAAAGAGGUUCUAGACCAGUUCUUGGUCCUGCAGCAGGAGGCAGAGACCACAGGAGGUCCACGAGUCCAGAUGGACCAGGACCAGCAGAACCAGCAGGCGACCCAGAGGAAUAAGUGCCAGCAGAGCCAGGAUCUUCAGGGGCACCAUGAUAAACAGAAUCAGAACCAGGGCAAAAAAGACAAAUUUAGCCAAAUCCUACAGAAGCAGAACCAGGAGCUUCAGGCCUUGCGAGCAGAGCUGAAGGAGCUCCGGGCUCUGGUCUUGCAGCUGGUUAAAACCAAGACCAACUCUGUAUAAGAGCUGUGGGUUGGACUGGGAGGAACGUCAGAACCAUUGUUUCAUGUUUCUGUUUCUCCAGAAGCUCCUCUGGUCCGGGAUUUCCUGUUUAAUUCUUAUUUACAAACUCUCAUAAAUGAAAAUACCAGUGAGAAGUUUGCUAAAGGUUCAGAGUGUCAUUCAUCUUUAACUGUUUAACUGUUCACCUGCAUCCAACUCUAAAGUCCCGCCAUUUGGCAGCCAAAUGGCUAAAAUAUAACAGGACACUGGAGUAAACUCUCAACUCUCACACUUCUGUUUAAUCAGUUUUCUGUUUGACGAUUAUUCAGCUGUGUGAAAACUACAACUUUAAUCUCAGCCAAACCGAUUUACUCAGGAACAAAUCAAACACUGAAAAAAGCCAAACAAUAACAUUUUUAAGUUAUCUGAGUGACUUAUAUAUCAUGUUUAACCUGAGUAGCAAAAGACCGCGCGGGGGGAGGGUUGAAACAGGGGCGGAUGAAACAGGGGCGGAUCUAGAGAAAUUUUCUUAGGGUGGCAAAGAAAUCAAAUGGGGUGGCAAAAUCAAAGCCUUUUUUUUUUCAAACACAUAUGCAGGUGGUUACAUAUGGUUAAAAUGAUUCAAAUGCAGUACCUAUACCCAUUUUUCAUAUAAAUAUAGUCUAGAAUUUCAUUAUUGUCUGUAGCCCACAUAAUUAAACACUUUAGUUACAUAAAACAUGUGAGUUUUGAUGUUAUGUACUGUAUAGCCUGUAUAAUAAAUAAAUAUUUAGCCCAGUAAGUAUCCAGAAAAGCUACACAACAUGGGCGCUUCAUUACAAACACAAGUCUAACUUCAGUUAGAAAAUAAUCAAAUUGUUACAUGCUUAAAUUACACAAAAUGUCAGAAAUCUGCACUGUCAAAAACAUAAAUGUAAACCUAAUUUUUCAUGAUUUGUUGGAUUAACCCACUGAGGUCCAAAAUAUAACCAGUCAUUUUUGACAUUUUUAUUUCACCUUCGAAUUGUUUAAUUCUAUUUUUUCCUGCCAUGCUUGGUAUCAUUCUUUUCAGCUCAGCCUCACAUGUCUGAAUUUAGUUGUUUUUUCAUUGACAUACUGUGUUAACACAACUGAUCUGAAAUCACACAAAAAACUUAAAAUCCUAGAAGGUUUUUUUUACUGCAAAAAACACAGACAUGUUGAGUCAAUUAUUUUUAUAACUUGAAAUGCAAAUAUAAAUUGUACAUUUUGAAAACGUAUGCACACAUUUUGUAAACAAAUACAACUAUUUAUCUAAAAAUGCAGCCAAUGCACCUGCCGUUUUUUUAUUUUGUACAACCAUUUAAAAAUAUUACUAAAGCUAAAAUGAGAGAACAAUCAGUUCUCGCAAUAAGAUGCCCCACAAAUGAUGUGUGCCAGUAAAAAAAAUUAUUUGCCCACCACAAGACAGAGGAGAACAGCACAGGGAUAAACCUGCA